CUGGCUUAUCCCUUGGGCUCUCUGCUUCCUGGCUGCCAUGACAAGGGCAGCUUUUCUCUACCAGGCCAUUUUUUCUUUCACCAUGCCAUUUCUGCCUGAGAGCUGACGAAGCAAGGACCGAACCCACUGAAAGUGCUUGGGUUCAAAACCCAAAGCUACCAGUUACCAACUGUGUGUCACUGGGGCUCCCAAGUCCAGGGGACCAUCUCUGCUGCCCACUGAAUCCAGAUCUGAAGUUCGGCCCCUCCUCAGAUUGCCCCAAAGAAUCCACUCAGAAAACUAAAAGUGAAGAAUGAGAAUUUCAUUGAGGAUUUCAGAGAGAAGACAGCACAUGCUCUCCAGGAAGCUGCAUUAGAAGCCACACUAAAUGACCUCUACUUACUCACAUAAUGGAUAAAUCCACGCUAUAGAUACCCAAACACUGAUUAUCACCAACCUUGCUUGUGGCAGUUGUACUGCUAUCAUGGUUAUGUAAUUUAACUCAUUAUAAACAGACAAAAUAUAAACAUAAAAUCCAGCUGUCACUUCUAUCAAAA